UAGGGAAUCUUCGGCAAUGGGGGCAACCCUGACCGAGCAACGCCGCGUGAGUGAAGAAGGUUUUCGGAUCGUAAAGCUCUGUUGUAAGUCAAGAACGGGUGUGAGAGUGGAAAGUUCACACUGUGACGGUAGCUUACCAGAAAGGGACGGCUAACUACGUGCCAGCAGCCGCGGUAAUACGUAGGUCCCGAGCGUUGUCCGGAUUUAUUGGGCGUAAAGCGAGCGCAGGCGGUUUGAUAAGUCUGAAGUUAAAGGCUGUGGCUCAACCAUAGUUCGCUUUGGAAACUGUCAAACUUGAGUGCAGAAGGGGAGAGUGGAAUUCCAUGUGUAGCGGUGAAAUGCGUAGAUAUAUGGAGGAACACCGGUGGCGAAAGCGGCUCUCUGGUCUGUAACUGACGCUGAGGCUCGAAAGCGUGGGGAGCGAACAGGAUUAGAUACCCUGGUAGUCCACGCCGUAAACGAUGAGUGCUAGGUGUUGGAUCCUUUCCGGGAUUCAGUGCCGCAGCUAACGCAUUAAGCACUCCGCCUGGGGAGUACGGCGCAAGGUUGAAAC
rnacentral:rRNA from 1 species